rnacentral:rRNA from 1 species
GAACUUUCCAGAGAUGGAUUGGUGCCUUCGGGAACUGUGAGACAGGUGCUGCAUGGCUGUCGUCAGCUCGUGUUGUGAAAUGUUGGGUUAAGUCCCGCAACGAGCGCAACCCUUAUCCUUUGUUGCCAGCGGUUAGGCCGGGAACUCAAAGGAGACUGCCAGUGAUAAACUGGAGGAAGGUGGGGAUGACGUCAAGUCAUCAUGGCCCUUACGACCAGGGCUACACACGUGCUACAAUGGCGCAUACAAAGAGAAGCGACCUCGCGAGAGCAAGCGGACCUCAUAAAGUGCGUCGUAGUCCGGAUUGGAGUCUGCAACUCGACUCCAUGAAGUCGGAAUCGCUAGUAAUCGUGGAUCAGAAUGCCACGGUGAAUACGUUCCCGGGCCUUGUACACACCGCCCGUCACACCAUGGGAGUGGGUUGCAAAAGAAGUAGGUAGCUUAACCUUCGGGAGGGCGCUUACCACUUUGUGAUUCAUGACUGGGGUGAAGUCGUAACAAGGUAACCGUAGGGGAACCUGCGGUUGGAUCACCUCCUUACCUGAAAGAAGC